rnacentral:rRNA from 1 species
CAGCACGGGAGCAAUCCUGGUGGCGAGUGGCGAACGGGUGAGUAAUAUAUCGGAACGUGCCCAGUCGUGGGGGAUAACGCAGCGAAAGCUGUGCUAAUACCGCAUACGAUCUACGGAUGAAAGCGGGGGACUCGCAAGAGCCUCGCGCGAUUGGAGCGGCCGAUAUCAGAUUAGCUAGUUGGUGGGGUAAAAGCCCACCAAGGCGACGAUCUGUAGCUGGUCUGAGAGGACGACCAGCCACACUGGAACUGAGACACGGUCCAGACUCCUACGGGAGGCAGCAGUGGGGAAUUUUGGACAAUGGGCGCAAGCCUGAUCCAGCAAUGCCGCGUGCAGGAUGAAGGCCUUCGGGUUGUAAACUGCUUUUGUACGGAACGAAAAGGUCUGCCCUAAUACGGCGGGCUCAUGACGGUACCGUAAGAAUAAGCACCGGCUAACUACGUGCCAGCAGCCGCGGUAAUACGUAGGGUGCGAGCGUUAAUCGGAAUUACUGGGCGUAAAGCGUGCGCAGGCGGUUAUAUAAGACAGAUGUGAAAUCCCCGGGCUCAACCUGGGACCUGCAUUUGUGACUGUAUAGCUAGAGUACGGUAGAGGGGGAUGGAAUUCCGCGUGUAGCAGUGAAAUGCGUAGAUAUGCGGAGGAACACCGAUGGCGAAGGCAAUCCCCUGGACCUGUACUGACGCUCAUGCACG